AUUGAACGCUGGCGGCAGGCCUAACACAUGCAAGUCGAGCGGAUGAAGGGAGCUUGCUCUUGGAUUCAGCGGCGGACGGGUGAGUAAUGCCUAGGAAUCUGCCUGGUAGUGGGGGAUAACGUCCGGAAACGGGCGCUAAUACCGCAUACGUCCUGAGGGAGAAAGUGGGGGAUCUUCGGACCUCACGCUAUCAGAUGAGCCUAGGUCGGAUUAGCUAGUUGGUGGGGUAAAGGCCUACCAAGGCGACGAUCCGUAACUGGUCUGAGAGGAUGAUCAGUCACACUGGAACUGAGACACGGUCCAGACUCCUACGGGAGGCAGCAGUGGGGAAUAUUGGACAAUGGGCGAAAGCCUGAUCCAGCCAUGCCGCGUGUGUGAAGAAGGUCUUCGGAUUGUAAAGCACUUUUAGUUGGGAGGAAGGGCAGUAAGUUAAUACCUUGCUGUUUUGACGUUACCAGCAGAAUAAGCACCGGCUAACUUCGUG
rnacentral:rRNA from 1 species